UACGGAGGGGGCAAGCGUUAUUCGGAAUUAUUGGGCGUAAAGAGCGCGCAGGCGGUCGAAUAAGUCGAAUGUGAAAGCCCCCGGCUUAACUGGGGAGGGUCAUUCGAUACUGCUCGACUUGAAGGCAGGAGAGGGUAGUGGAAUUCCCGGUGUAGUGGUGAAAUGCGUAGAUAUCGGGAGGAACACCAGUGGCGAAGGCGACUACCUGGCCUGUUCUUGACGCUGAGGCGCGAAAGCUGGGGGAGCAAACGGG
rnacentral:rRNA from 1 species